GGCAUGGUGGCGUAGUGGUUAGCACUGUCGCCUCACAGCAAGAAGGUUGUGGGUUCGAAUCUGGCCUGGGGCA